rnacentral:rRNA from 1 species
AGAGUUUGAUCAUGGCUCAGAGCGAACGCUGGCGGCAGGCCUAACACAUGCAAGUCGAACGCCCCUUCGGGGGAGUGGCGGACGGGUGAGUAACGCGUGGGAAUGUGCCCUUUGGUACGGAACAACUGAGGGAAACUUCAGCUAAUACCGUAUGUGCCCUUCGGGGGAAAGAUUUAUCGCCAUUGGAGCAGCCCGCGUUGGAUUAGGUAGUUGGUGGGGUAAAGGCCUACCAAGCCUACGAUCCAUAGCUGGUCUGAGAGGAUGAUCAGCCACACUGGGACUGAGACACGGCCCAGACUCCUACGGGAGGCAGCAGUGGGGAAUCUUGCGCAAUGGGCGAAAGCCUGACGCAGCCAUGCCGCGUGUAUGAUGAAGGUCUUAGGAUUGUAAAAUACUUUCACCGGGGAAGAUAAUGACGGUACCCGGAGAAGAAGCCCCGGCUAACUUCGUGCCAGCAGCCGCGGUAAUACGAAGGGGGCUAGCGUUGCUCGGAAUUACUGGGCGUAAAGGGCGCGUAGGCGGACAGUUUAGUCAGAGGUGAAAGCCCAGGGCUCAACCUUGGAAUUGCCUUUGAUACUGGCUGUCUUGAGUUCGGGAGAGGUGAGUGGAAUGCCGAGUGUAGAGGUGAAAUUCGUAGAUAUUCGGCGGAACACCAGUGGCGAAGGCGACUCACUGGCCCGAUACUGACGCUGAGGCGCGAAAGCGUGGGGAGCAAACAGGAUUAGAUACCCCGGUAGUCC